rnacentral:tRNA from 2 species
CGACGUAGCACAGUUGGUAGUGCAACGCACUCGUAACGCGUAGGUCGUAGGUUCAAGUCCUAUCGUCGGC